rnacentral:lncRNA from 1 species
ACCAUUUGACAUCCUGGCCGGGGAGGAUUCAGAUCAGAGAUGACUUCACCACUGCCACAAAGUAUGGUUCUGGGAAGGACAACCAGCCCCAAGGCCACGAAGGUUCUGAAAAAGUUUCUUCUCAUUUGAAGUCCAGUAUUUCCUCGGCCCCAUUUUUCUGUUAAACAAUCCUUUUCCCUUGGAGAUUGCUAAAGCUUAGCUCCAGGGCCAGCCUAAGCUCCAGCAGAACUGGGAGCAUCUCCUGUCUACAUAGCUCCCUUCCCUCCUGCCUUCCUACUGUCAAAGGAGAAACAGCAUGUAAUUUGAUUUUUUUCCCCUUCUCCUCACUUGCCAUACUGUGUUCUCUGCCUGGGCCUGGGCCUCUCCUUGCAGAGGCUGUGGACAGGAGCACCGAGAGCCACUUCCUGGAGCACGCUCCCCACCCCCACAGCCUGUGGCUUCAGCCUCUGCUUCUGCAGGCAGCGGUGGAGGAAGUCAGGACUGUCCCUUCUGACCUGGACACCUACCUCCAAGUCCUCCCUGUCGCCACAGAGACCCAGCAAUGCAAGUGAGUCCUGUUUGACCUCGUCAAUCAUUGCAGACUGUAAAGGUGACUCAGAUGCUCAAGAAACGAGCAUGCCCAGCAGUGGGCCCCAGACUUCCCGCAGGCCCAGGUCCUCCUGGGUGCACAGAGACCUACCAGACAAAGGUCCGGCUGCACUAGUGUUGUGAGAUGCCUGUGUCAGAAGACACACUUGCCUCCUAUCAUGCCGAUGAUCACAGGAGAAAGAGCAGGGCACAUGCGUGCCAGCAUGCUGAAGGGAGGCCAGAACCCACACUUGAA